rnacentral:rRNA from 1 species
GACGAACGCUGGCGGCGUGCCUAAUACAUGCAAGUCGAACGCAGUGGGGACGGGUGAGUAACACGUUGGUAACCUCCCAUCAGAGGGGAUAACCCUUGGAAACAGGUGCUAAACCGAUACUGAUGGAUGGACCCGCGGUGCAUUAGCUAGUUGGUGAGUUAACGGCUCACCAAGGCCACGAUGCAUAGCUGACCUGAUAGUGUGAUUGGCCAAACGGGGACUGAGACACGGCCCAGACUCCUACGAGAGGCCGCAGUAGGGAAUCUGCGGCAAUGGACGAAAGUCUUACCGAGCAACGCCGCGUGAGUGAAGAAGGUUUUCGGAGCGUAAAGCUCUGUUGUUAGAGAAGCGGUAUCUAACCAGAAAGCCACGGCUAACUACGUGCCAGCAGCCGCGGUAAUAC